rnacentral:rRNA from 1 species
AACAUGGCCAUACUACCCCAAAUGCUUCUGAUCUCAUCUGGUCUCAGAAGUGCAGCAGGGUCAGGCCUGAGUGGCACUUGGAUGAGAGAAAUAGACAGGCAGGAUGAUACUGUAA